AAAAUUUUUUUUUAUUAAAUAACUAAGUGGCAGACUUAUUUUGUGGUGAUGAGGAAUAAACAUCGAUAGACCACUGAAUAAACUAUUUUCUUGCCUUAGUAAAUAAGAUCUGAUUUGAUAUAAAAUAAGAAUUUCGGCAAGACAAAAGUGCCCGUUUUACACAUCGAAAAAUUCUUACGAUACGUGUUCUUUGUAAAAAAUGUUUUUUGAUUUAAUUACUUAAAUGGUCAAAGUACAGUAAAAAAUUGAUUGCGAACGUCGGAAUUAAAACUGAGAAAAAGGUGGCAGCUCUAGAUUUUCUUAAGCCCUUCAAUUUCUGCCUUUUCUUGGCUUUAAAGCAAGCAAUUGCAAACAUAAAAGGCAUUUUUCACGUUGUUUGAUUUCGACAAAUAAAAUAAAACAGGCGUUUGAGCAGCAAGAAGCGAUGAGAAACGAAACAUUUCGAUAGCAUGCCUGAAUAGACCUAAAGCAUAACAAAAAAUUGUAAAACACAUGGUUUUUUAUGACUUAAGUGUUUUUCUAUUUAAAUAUCAUAAGGCCCUUCCAGGUCAAUGAUUUUAUUAUGCAAAAUACAUAUACUUUUCACAAUUAUAUCAACAAAAUUGGGGUCUGUCUCAAUAGGCUUUCAUUUGGAUGAUAUGAUACCAAUAUCACAUUAAAUACAUCUUCGAGCUAUGGAAAGUCUACUGUUAAAAUAUUCGUUGCUUGCAUUUAUAUCUCUGAUGAGAAAGAUGGUCAAGCUUUAAAAAAAAAAUGGAAGAACAUCCGUGACCAAUUUUGCAACGAAUGGAAAAAUUCCUGUUCCAAAAUCUGGAGACCCUGGAGUUUCAGAGGAUGCUUACCACCAUUAUACUUCUUCUUUAAGUAGUUUUCUCUUUUUAAAAGACCAAAUGAAACUCCGAAAAUUGGUUGGAAGUUUUGACGCUUCAUCACAAUUUUGCUUCUCCAGGAUUUUCAUCAGAAGUGUCUCUAGAUGAGACCAUCACUUAAGAAUUUCGAGAGCUAUGUGAAGAUGAAUCGAUUUUGCAACCGAAAUAAAAGCAAAAGAAGAUAA